GACGAACGCUGGCGGCGGGCUUAACACAUGCAAGUCGAACGAAGAGGGCUGUAAGCUUGCUUCCAUCAUGCUUAGUGGCGGACGGGUGGGUAACGCGUAAGCAACCUGCCCUUCCGUGGGUGACAACAGUUGUAAACGACGGCUAAUACCUCAUACGAUCUAACCUCUGAAUCCAUGAUAUAUGAAAGGUGGCCUCUACAUGUAAGCUAUCACUGAAGUAGGGUUAUGCGUCUGGUUAGGUAGCUGGAGAGGAAACGGACAAGCAAGGCGAGGAUCAGUAGCAGGUCUGGGAGGAUGAAGGGCCACACUGGGAUUGGGACACGGCCAAGACCCCUACGGGAAGGAGCAGUGGGGAAUCUUACGAAAUGGCAGAAAGUCUGACGGAGCAACGCCGCGUGAGUGAUGACGGCGUUCGGGCUGUAAAGUUUUGUUAAUCGGGGCGAAAGGACUUCUUGCGAAUAGUGAGAAUGAUUGACGGUACCGGACUAGAAAGCCACGGCUAACUACGUG
rnacentral:rRNA from 1 species